CGCUCUUUUCGGGAGUAAAAAUUCCUUUACAAAUGUGUGGAUGGCUGGACAUUGCAUCAUCCUAGAGAACUUGGAGGCCAGUGAGGACAAAAAUAAAAAGUUAUAAGACUUUUAAGACUGUGGAUUUUUGGGUUAUCUUUGGCGCCCCCUAGAACGUAAACCGUGGGGUGCAGCGUCAUGAUUUGUACAACUUUUAAUGGCCAUGGGGUGUAGAUUGGCCUGAGCAAAUGUGGUGCCGGUGGAACGAAUGCCUUCGGAGGAGUUAGCGAAAUUUCAAUGUGUGCAGAUCGGCAAAAAAUGCAAAAUAACCCUCUAACCGUACAUUUCACAGAUGCGCCCGCGCUGACUUUUUCGUAGACCGUAUUGAGAUACACGUGUGUGUCAAUUUUUGUGUCAAUAUGACAAAGCGUACAGGCGUGACAGUCAAUAGUGUGAAUUUUCGCCUUAGGGGGCGCUAUGGAGCCAUUUUGCAUUUUAUUGUUUGGGCGACUUCAGAAUAUCGAAUUUUUCACCAGGCCCGGUCGUCCUGCCAAAUUUCAUGAGUUUUCGCCAGUGGGAAGUGGGCCAUUUUCCCCUUCAAAGGGGAGGAAAAAUAAGAAGAAAGAAAGAAAGAAAGAAAGAAGAAAGAAAAACCUAUACAGGAAUAAUAGGGCUCUACGCCCGGCUGCUCUGCAGCUGGCUCGGGCCCUAAAGAAAGAAAGAAAGAAAGAAAGAAACAAAGAAAAACCACUUGGGGAAUAAUAGGGCUCUCGCAGCUGCUUAGCAGCUACGCUCGGGCCCUAAAUAUAUUUGGGGUCUUCGGGCUUCCUGAAGGAAAUACCCGGGUAUGAGGUUAUGGGGCUAGGGUAAGGUUUAAGGUUUUUGGCGUCAGGGUUAAAAUCACUGUCCAAAACCUUUUUAGGAACAUGUUUCAGACCUUUUGGAGUUGGUAACACCAAAAAAAAAUGUAAAAUGAAAAAAAAAAUAUUUGGGGUGUUCAAGCUUCCUGAAGGUAAUACCCAGGUAUUAGGUUUUGGGGCUAGGGUAAGGUUUAAGGUUUUUGGUGUUAGGGUUAAAAUCACCGUCCAAAACCUUUGUAGGAACUCUUUUCCAACCUUUUGGAGUUAGUUAGACAAAAAAAAAAAGAUAAAUGAAAAAAAAAUAUUUGGGGUGUUCGGGCUUCCUGAAGGUAAUACCCGGGUAUUAGGUUAUGGAUCUAGGGUAAGGUUUAAGGUUAUGGGGCUAGGGUUAAAAUCACUGUCCAAAACCUUUGUAGGAACUCUUUUCCAACCUUUGAGAGCAAGUUCGACCAAAAAAAAAGAUAAAUAAAAAAUAUAUAUUUGGGGUGUUCGGGCUUCCUGAAGGUAUUAGGUUAUGGGGCUAGGUUAAGGUUUUAAGGUUUUUUGGAGUUGGUUACACCAAAAAAAAAUAUAAAAUGAAAAAAAAUAUAUAUUUGGGGUGUUCGGGCUUCCUGAAGGUAAUACCCGGGUAUUAGGUUUAGGGGCUAGGGUAAGGUUUAAGGUUUUUGGUGUUAGGGUUAGUUCACUGUCCAAAUCCUUUGUAGGAACUCUUUUCCAACCUAUUGGAGUUAGUUAGACCAAAAAAAAAAGAAAAAAGAAAAAAUAUAUUUGGGGUGUUCGGGUUUCCUGAAGGUAAUACCCGGGUAUUAGGUUAUGGGGCGAGGGUAAGGUUUAAGGUUUUUGGUGUUAGGGUUAAAAUCACUGUCCAAAACCUUUUUAGGAACAUGUUUCAGACCUUUUGGAGUUGGUAACACCAAAAAAAAAUGUAAAAUGAAAAAAAAAUAUUUGGGGUGUUCAAGCUUCCUAAAGGUAAUACCCGGGUAUUAGGUUUUGGGGCUAGGGUAAGGUUUAAGGUUUUUGGUGUUAGGGUUUAAAUCACUGUCCAAAACCUUUGUAGGAACUAUUUUCCAACCUUUUGGAGUUAGUUAGACCAAAGAAAAAUGUAAAAUUAAAAAAACUUUUUUUGGGUGUUCGGGCUUCCUGAAGGUAAUACUAAGUUUUUGGGCUAGGGUAAUGUUUAAGGUUUUUGGUGUUAGGGUUAAAAUCAAUGUCCAAAACCUUUGUAGGAACUCUUUUCCAACCUUUGAGAGCAAGUUAGACCAAAACAAAAAGAAAAAUAAAAAAUAUAUAUUUGGGGUGUUCGGGCUUCCUGAAGGUAAUACCCGGGUAUUAGGUUAUGGGGCUAGGGUAAGGUUUAAGGUUUUUCGGCGUGAGGGUAAAAAUCACUGUCCAAAACCUUUGUAGGAACUAUUUUCCAACCUUUGGGAAUAAGUUAGACAAAAAAAAAUAAGAUAAAUGAAAAAAAAAUAUUUGGGGUGUUCGGGCUUCCUGAAGGUAAUACCCGGGUAUUAGGUUUUGGGGCUAGGGUAAGGUUUAAGGUUUUUGGUGUUAGGGUUAAAAUCACUGUCCAAAACCUUUUUAGGAACAUGUUUCAGACCUUUUGGAGUAGGUUACACCAAAAAAAAAUGUAAAAUGAAAAAAAAAUAUUUGGGGUGUUCAAGCUUCCUGAAGGUAAUACCCGGGUAUUAGGUUUUGGGGCUAGGGUUAGGUUUAAGGUUUUUGGCAUUAGGGUUAAAAUAACUGUCCAAUAUUUUUUAAGGAACAUGUCUCAGACCUUUGGGAGUUAGUUAGACAAAAAAUAAAAGAAAAAGAAAAAAAUAUAUAUUUGGGGUGUUCGGGUUUCCUGAAGGUAAUACCCGGGUAUUAGGUUUUGGGGCUAGGGUAAGGUUUAAGGUUUUUGGUGUUAGAGUUAAAAUCAGUGUCCAAAACCUUUUUAGGAACAUGUUUAAGACCUUUUAGAGUUGGUUACACCAAAAAAAAAUGUAAAAUGAAAAAAAAAUAUUUGGGGUGUUCGGGCUUACUGAAGGUAAUACCCAGGUAUUAGGUUUUGGGGCUAGGGUAAGGUUUAAGGUUUUUGGUGUUAGGGUUAAAAUCACUGUCCAAAACCUUUGUAGGAACUCUUUUCCAACCUUUUGGAGUUAGUUAGACCAAAAAAAAAGAAAAAAUGAAAAAAAUAUAUUUGGGGUCUUCGGGCUUCCUGAAGGAAAUACCCAGGUAUUAGGUUAUGGGGCUAGGGUAAGGUUUAAGGUUUUUGGCGUUAGGGUUAAAAUCACUGUCCAAAACCUUUUUAGGAACAUGUUUCAGACCUUUUGGAGUUGGUUACACCAAAAAAAAUGUAAAAUGAAAAGAAAAUAUUUGGGGUGUUCAAGCUUCCUGAAGGUAAUACCCGGGUAUUAGUUCAUGGGGCUAUAGUAAGGUUUAAGGUUUUUGGCGUUAGGGUUAAAAUCACUGUCCAAAACCUUUGUAGGAACUAUUUUCCAACCUUUUGGAGUUAGUUAGACCAAAAAAAAAACGAAAAAUGAAAAAAAAAUAUUUGGGGUUUUCGGGCUUACUGAAGGUAAUACCCGGGUAUUAGGUUUUGGGGCUAGGGUUAGGUUUAAGGUUUUUGGCGUUAGGGUUAAAAUAACUGUCCAAAACCUUUGUAGGAACUCUUUUCCAACCUUUGAGAGCAAGUUAGACCAAAAAAAAAAAGAUAAAUGAAAAAAAGAAUAUUUGGGGUGUUCGGGCUUCCUGAAGGAAAUACCCGGGUAUUAGGUUUUUAUGCUAGGGUUAGGUUUAAGGUUUUUGGCGUUAGGGUUAAAAUAACUGUCCAAUAUUUUUUAAGGAACAUGUUUCAGACCUUUGGGAGUUAGUUAGACAAAAAACAAAGAAAAAGAAAAAAAAAAUAUUUGGGGUGUUCGGGUUUCCUGAAGGUAAUACCCGGGUAUUAGGUUAUGGGGCGAGGGUAAGGUUUAAGGUUUUUGGCGUUAGGGUUAAAAUCACUGUCCAAAACCUUUUUAGGAACAUGUUUCAGACCUUUUGGAGUUGGUAACACCAAAAAAAAAUGUAAAAUGAAAAAAAAAUAUUUGGGGUGUUCAAGCUUCCUAAAGGUAAUACCCGGGUAUUAGGUUUUGGGGCUAGGGUAAGGUUUAAGGUUUUUGGCGCAAGGGUUAAAAUCACUGUCCAAAACCUUUUUAGGAACAUGUUUCAGACCUUUUGGAGUUGGUUACACCAAAAAAAAUGUAAAAUGAAAAAAAAAUUUUUUUGGGUGUUCGGGCUUCCUGAAGGUAAUACUUUGUAUUACCUUUGUAGGAAGUCUUUUCCAACCUUUUGGAGUUAGUCUUUUGUAGGAAGUCUUUUCCAACCUUUUGGAGUUAGUUAGACAAAAAAAAAAAGAUAAAUGAAAAAAAAAUAUUUGGGGUGUUCGGGCUUCCUGAAGGCAAUACCCGGGUAUUAGGUUUUUGGGCUAGGGUAAGGUUUAAGGUUUUUGGUGUUAGGGUUAAAAUCACUGUCCAAAACCUUUUUAGGAACUCUUUUCCGACCUUUUGGAGUUAGUUAGACCAAAAAAAAAUGUAAAAUGAAAAAGAAUUUUUUUGAGUGUUCGGGCUUCCUGAAGGUAAUACUAGGUUUCUGGGCUAGGGUAAUGUUUUAGGUUUUUGGCGUAAGGGUUAAAAUCACUGUCCAAAACCUUUUUAGGAACUAUUUUCCAACCUUUUGGAGUUAGUUAGACCAAAAAAAAACGAAAAAUGAAAAAAAAUAUUUGGGGUGUUCGGGCUUCCUGAAGGUAAUACUAGGUUUCUGGGCUAGGGUAAUGUUUUAGGUUUUUGGCGUUAGGGUUAAAAUCAAUGUCCAAAACCUUUGUAGGAACUCUUUUCCAACCUUUGAGAGCAAGUUAGACCAAAACAAAAAGAAAAAUGAAAAAAAAAUAUUUGGGGUGUUCAAGCUUCCUAAAGGUAAUACCCGGGUAUUAGGUUUUGGGGCUAGGGUAAGGUUUAAGGUUUUUGGUGUUAGGGUUUAAAUCACUGUCCAAAACCUUUGUAGGAAGUCUUUUCCAACCUUUUGGAGUUAGUUAGACAAAAAAAAAACAAAUGAAAAAAAAAUGUUUAGGGUGUUCGGGCUUCCUGAAGGUAAUACCCGGGUAUUAGGUUAUGGGGCUAGGGUAAGGUUUAAGGUUUUUGGCGUAAGGGUUAAAAUCACUGUCCAAAACCUUUUUAGGAACAUGUUCAGACCUUUAGGAGUUGGUUACACCAAAAAAAAUGUAAAAUGAAAAAAAAUUUUUUGGGGGUGUUCGGGCUUCCUGAAGGUAAUACUUUGUAUUACCUUUGUAGGAAGUCUUUUCCAACCUUUUGGAGUUAGUCUUUUGUAGGAAGUCUUUUCCAACCUUUUGGAGUUAGUUAGACAAAAAAAAAAAGAUAAAUGAAAAAAAAAUAUUUGGGGUGUUCGGGCUUCCUGAAGGUAAUACCCGAGUAUUAGGUUAUGGGGCUAGGGUAAGGUUUAAGGUUUUUGGCGUAAGGGUUAAAAUCACUGUCCAAAACCUUUUUAGGAACAUGUUUCAGACCUUUUGGAGUAGGUUACACCAAAAAAAAAUGUAAAAUGAAAAAAAAAUAUUUGGGGUGUUCGGGCUUCCUGAAGGUAAUACCCGGGUAUUAGGUUUUUGGGCUAGGGUAAGGUUUAAGGUUUUUGGUGUUAGGGUUAAAAUCACUGUCCAAAACCUUUGUAGGAACUCUUUUCCGACCUUUUGGAGUUAGUUAGACCAAAAAAAAAAUGUAAAAUGAAAAAGAAUUUUUUUGAGUGUUCGGGCUUCCUGAAGGUAAUACUAGGUUUCUGGGCUAGGGUAAUGUUUUAGGUUUUUGGCGUAAGGGUUAAAAUCACUGUCCAAAACCUUUUUAGGAACUAUUUUCCAACCUUUUGGAGUUAGUUAGACCAAAAAAAAACGAAAAAUGAAAAAAAAUAUUUGGGGUGUUCGGGCUUCCUGAAGGUAAUACUAGGUUUCUGGGCUAGGGUAAUGUUUUAGGUUUUUGGCGUAAGGGUUAAAAUCACUGUCCAAAACCUUUUUAGGAACUAUUUUCCAACCUUUUGGAGUUAGUUCGACCAAAAAAAAACGAAAAAUGAAAAAAAAAUAUUUGGGGUGUUCGGGCUUCCUGAAGGUAAUACUAGGUUUCUGGGCUAGGGUAAUGUUUUAGGUUUUUGGCGUUAGGGUUAAAAUCAAUGUCCAAAACCUUUGUAGGAACUCUUUUCCAACCUUUGAGAGCAAGUUAGACCAAAACAAAAAUAAAAAUAAAAAUAUAUAUAUUUGGGGUGUUCGGGCUUCCUGAAGGAAAUACCCGGGUAUUAGGUUAUGGGGCUAGGGUAAGGUUUAAGGUUUUUCGGCGUGAGGGUAAAAAUCACUGUCCAAAACCUUUGUAGGAACUCUUUUCCAACCUUUGGGAAUAAGUUAGACAAAAAAAAUAAGAUAAAAGAAAAAAAUAUAUAUUUGGGGUGUUCGGGUUUCCUGAAGGUAAUACCCGGGUAUUAGGUUAUGGGGCUAGGGUAAGGUUUAAGGUUUUUGGCGUUAGAGUUAAAAUCAGUGUCCAAAACCUUUUUAGGAACAUGUUUAAGACCUUUUAGAGUUGGUUACACCAAAAAAAAAUGUAAAAUGAAAAAAAAUUAUUUGGGGUGUUCGGGCUUCCUGAAGGAAAUACCCAGGUAUUAGGUUAUGGGGCUAGGGUAAGGUUGAAGGUUUUUGGCGUUAGGGUUAAAAUCACUGUCCAAAACCUUUUUAGGAACAUGUUUCAGACUUUUUGGAGUUGGUUACACCAAAAAAAAAUGUAAAAUGAAAAAAACUUUUUUUGGGUGUUCGGGCUUCCUGAAGGUAAUACUAAGUUUUUGGGCUAGGGUAAUGUUUAAGGUUUUUGGUGUUAGGGUUAAAAUCAAUGUCCAAAACCUUUGUAGGAACUCUUUUCCAACCUUUGAGAGCAAGUUAGACCAAAACAAAAAGAAAAAUAAAAAAUAUAUAUUUGGGGUGUUCGGGCUUCCUGAAGGUAAUACCCGGGUAUUAGGUUAUGGGGCUAGGGUAAGGUUUAAGGUUUUUCGGCGUGAGGGUAAAAAUCACUGUCCAAAACCUUUGUAGGAACUCUUUUCCAACCUUUGGGAAUAAGUUAGACAAAAAAAAUAAGAUAAAUGAAAAAAAAAUAUUUGGGGUGUUCGGGCUUCCUGAAGGUAAUACCCGGGUAUUAGGUUUUGGGGCUAGGGUAAGGUUUAAGGUUUUUGGUGUUAGGGUUAAAAUCACUGUCCAAAACCUUUUUAGGAACAUGUUUCAGACCUUUUGGAGUAGGUUACACCAAAAAAAAAAAUGUAAAAUGAAAAAAAAAUAUUUGGGGUGUUCAAGCUUCCUGAAGGUAAUACCCGGGUAUUAGGUUUUGGGGCGAGGGUUAGGUUUAAGGUUUUUGGCAUUAGGGUUAAAAUAACUGUCCAAUAUUUUUUAAGGAACAUGUCUCAGACCUUUGGGAGUUAGACAAAAAAAAAAGAAAAAGAAAAAAAUAUAUAUUUGGGGUGUUCGGGUUUCCUGAAGGUAAUACCCGGGUAUUAGGUUUUGGGGCUAGGGUAAGGUUUAAGGUUUUUGGUGUUAGGGUUAAAAUCACUGUCCAAAACCUUUGUAGGAACUCUUCUCCAACCUUUUGGAGUUAGUUAGACCAAAAAAAAAGAAAAAAUGAAAAAAAUAUAUUUGGGGUCUUCGGGCUUCCUGAAGGAAAUACCCAGGUAUUAGGUUAUGGGGCUAGGGUAAGGUUGAAGGUUUUUGGCGUUAGGGUUAAAAUCACUGUCCAAAACCUUUUUAGGAACAUGUUUCAGACCUUUUGGAGAUGGUUACACCAAAAAAAAUGUAAAAUGAAAAGAAAAUAUUUGGGGUGUUCAAGCUUCCUGAAGGUAAUACCCGGGUAUUAGUUUAUGGGGCUAUAGUAAGGUUUAAGGUUUUUGGCGUUAGGGUUAAAAUCACUGUCCAAAACCUUUGUAGGAACUAUUUUCCAACCUUUUGGAGUUAGUUAGACCAAAAAAAAAACGAAAAAUGAAAAAAAAUAUUUGGGGUUUUCGGGCUUACUGAAGGUAAUACCCGGGUAUUAGGUUUUGGGGCUAGGGUUAGGUUUAAGGUUUUUGGCGUUAGGGUUAAAAUAACUGUCCAAAACCUUUGUAGGAACUCUUUUCCAACCUUUGGGAAUUAGUUAGACAAAAAAAAAAAAGAUAAAUGAAAAAAAGAAUAUUUGGGGUGUUCGGGCUUCCUGAAGGAAAUACCCGGGUAUUAGGUUUUGGGGCUAGGGUUAGGUUUAAGGUUUUUGGCGUUAGGGUUAAAAUAACUGUCCAAUAUUUUUUAAGGAACAUGUUUCAGACCUUUGGGAGUUAGUUAGACAAAAAACAAAGAAAAAGAAAAAAAAAAUAUUUGGGGUGUUCGGGUUUCCUGAAGGUAAUACCCGGGUAUUAGGUUAUGGGGCGAGGGUAAGGUUUAAGGUUUUUGGCGUUAGGGUGAAAAUCACUGUCCAAAACCUUUUUAGGAACAUGUUUCAGACCUUUUGGAGUUGGUAACACCAAAAAAAAAAUGUAAAAUGAAAAAAAAAUAUUUGGGGUGUUCAAGCUUCCUAAAGGUAAUACCCGGGUAUUAGGUUUUGGGGCUAGGGUAAGGUUUAAGGUUUUUGGUGUUAGGGUUUAAAUCACUGUCCAAAACCUUUGAAGGAAGUCUUUUCCAACCUUUUGGAGUCAGUUAGACAAAAAAAAAAACAAAUGAAAAAAAAAUGUUUAGGGUGUUCGGGCUUCCUGAAGGUAAUACCCGGGUAUUAGGUUAUGGGGCUAGGGUAAGGUUUAAGGUUUUUGGCGUAAGGGUUAAAAUCACUGUCCAAAACCUUUUUAGGAACAUGUUUCAGACCUUUAGGAGUUGGUUACACCAAAAAAAAUGUAAAAUAAAAAAAAAAUUUUUUGGGGUGUUCGGGCUUCCUGAAGGUAAUACUUUGUAUUACCUUUGUAGGAAGUCUUUUCCAACCUUUUGGAGUUAGUCUUUUGUAGGAAGUCUUUUCCAACCUUUUGGAGUUAGUUAGACAAAAAAAAAAAAAGAUAAAUGAAAAAAAAGUAUUUGGGUGUUCGGGCUUCCUGAAGGUAAUACCCGGGUAUUAGGUUAUGGGGCUAGGGUAAGGUUUAAGGUUUUUGGCGUAAGGGUUAAAAUCACUGUCCAAAACCUUUUUAGGAACUCUUUUCCAACCUUUGAGAGCAAGUUAGACCAAAACAAAAAGAAAAAUAAAAAAUAUAUAUUUGGGGUGUUCGGGCUUCCUGAAGGUAAUACCCGGGUAUUAGGUUAUGGGGCUAGGGUAAGGUUUAAGGUUUUUCGGCGUGAGGGUAAAAAUCACUGUCCAAAACCUUUGUAGGAACUCUUUUCCAACCUUUGGGAAUAAGUUAGACAAAAAAAAUAAGAUAAAUGAAAAAAAAAUAUUUGGGGUGUUCGGGCUUCCUGAAGGUAAUACCCGGGUAUUAGGUUUUGGGGCUAGGGUAAGGUUUAAGGUUUUUGGUGUUAGGGUUAAAAUCACUGUCCAAAACCUUUUUAGGAACAUGUUUCAGACCUUUUGGAGUAGGUUACACCAAAAAAAAAAAUGUAAAAUGAAAAAAAAAUAUUUGGGGUGUUCAAGCUUCCUGAAGGUAAUACCCGGGUAUUAGGUUUUGGGGCGAGGGUUAGGUUUAAGGUUUUUGGCAUUAGGGUUAAAAUAACUGUCCAAUAUUUUUUAAGGAACAAGUCUCAGACCUUUGGGAGUUAGACAAAAAAAAAAGAAAAAGAAAAAAAUAUAUAUUUGGGGUGUUCGGGUUUCCUGAAGGUAAUACCCGGGUAUUAGGUUUUGGGGCUAGGGUAAGGUUUAAGGUUUUUGGCAUUAGGGUUAAAAUAACUGUCCAAAACCUUUUUAGGAACAUGUUUAAGACCCUUUAGAGUUGGUUACACCAAAAAAAAAUGUAAAAUGAAAAAAAAAUAUUUGGGGUGUUCGGGUUUCCUGAAGGUAAUACCCGGGUAUUAGGUUUUGGGGCUAGGGUAAGGUUUAAGGUUUUUGGUGUUAGGGUUAAAAUCACUGUCCAAAACCUUUGUAGGAACUCUUUUCCAACCUUUUGGAGUUAGUUAGACCAAAAAAAAAGAAAAAAAUGAAAAAAAUAUAUUUGGGGUCUUCGGGCUUCCUGAAGGAAAUACCCAGGUAUUAGGUUAUGGGGCUAGGGUAAGGUUUAAGGUUUUUGGCGUUAGGGUUAAAAUCACUGUCCAAAACCUUUUUAGGAACAUGUUUCAGACCUUUUGGAGAUGGUUACACCAAAAAAAAUGUGAAAUGAAAAGAAAAUAUUUGGGGUGUUCAAGCUUCCUGAAGGUAAUACCCGGGUAUUAGUUUAUGGGGCUAUAGUAAGGUUUAAGGUUUUUGGCGUUAGGGUUAAAAUCACUGUCCAAAACCUUUGUAGGAACUAUUUUCCAACCUUUUGGAGUUAGGUAGACCAAAAAAAAAACGAAAAAUGAAAAAAAAUAUUUGGGGUUUUCGGGCUUACUGAAGGUAAUACCCGGGUAUUAGGUUUUGGGGCUAGGGUUAGGUUUAAGGUUUUUGGCGUUAGGGUUAAAAUAACUGUCCAAAACCUUUGUAGGAACUCUUUUCCAACCUUUGGGAAUUAGUUAGACAAAAAAAAAAAGAUAAAUGAAAAAAAGAAUAUUUGGGGUGUUCGGGCUUCCUGAAGGAAAUACCCGGGUAUUAGGUUUUGGGGCUAGGGUUAGGUUUAAGGUUUUUGGCGUUAGGGUUAAAAUAACUGUCCAAUAUUUUUUAUGGAACAUGUUUCAGACCUUUGGGAGUUAGUUAGACAAAAAACAAAGAAAAAGAAAAAAAAAUAUUUGGGGUGUUCGGGUUUCCUGAAGGUAAUACCCGGGUAUUAGGUUAUGGGGCGAGGGUAAGGUUUAAGGUUUUUGGCGUUAGGGUGAAAAUCACUGUCCAAAACCUUUUUAGGAACAUGUUUCAGACCUUUUGGAGUUGGUAACACCAAAAAAAAAAUGAAAAAUGAAAAAAAAAUAUUUGGGGUGUUCAAGCUUCCUAAAGGUAAUACCCAGGUAUUAGGUUUUGGGGCUAGGGUAAGGUUUAAGGUUUUUGGUGUUAGGGUUAAAAUCACUGUCCAAAACCUUUGUAGGAACUCUUUUCCAACCUUUUGGAGUUAGUUAGACCAAAAAAAAAGAAAAAAUGAAAAAAAUAUAUUUGGGGUCUUCGGGCUUCCUGAAGGAAAUACCCAGGUAUUAGGUUAUGGGGCUAGGGUAAGGUUUAAGGUUUUUGGCGUUAGGGUUAAAAUCACUGUCCAAAACCUUUGUAGGAACUCUUUUCCAACCUUUGGGAAUAAGUUAGACAAAAAAGUAAGAUAAAUGAAAAAAAUAUAUUUGGGGUGUUCGGGCUUCCUGAAGGUAAUACCCGGGUAUUAGGUUUUGGGGCUAGGGUAAGGUUUAAGGUUUUUGGUGUUAGGGUUAAAAUCACUGUCCAAAACCUUUUUAGGAACAUGUUUCAGACCUUUUGGAGUAGGUUACACCAAAAAAAAAUGUAAAAUGAAAAAAAAAUAUUUGGGGUGUUCAAGUUUCCUGAAGGUAAUACCCGGGUAUUAGGUUUUGGGGCUAGGGUUAGGUUUAAGGUUUUUGGCAUUAGGGUUAAAAUAACUGUCCAAUAUUUUUUAAGGAACAUGUCUCAGACCUUUGGGAGUUAGUUAGACAAAAAAAAAAAGAAAAAGAAAAAAAUAUAUAUUUGGGGUGUUCGGGUUUCCUGAAGGUAAUACCCGGGUAUUAGGUUUUGGGGCUAGGGUAAGGUUUAAGGUUUUUGGUGUUAGAGUUAAAAUCAGUGUCCAAAACCUUUUUAGGAACAUGUUUAAGACCUUUUAGAGUUGGUUACACCAAAAAAAAUGUAAAAUGAAAAAAAAAUAUUUGGGGUGUUCGGGCAUCCUGAAGGUAAUACCCGGGUAUUAGGUUUUGGGGCUAGGGUAAGGUUUAAGGUUUUUGGUGUUAGGGUUAAAAUAACUGUCCAAAACCUUUGUAGGAACUCUUUUCCAACCUUUUGGAGUUAGUUAUACCAAAAAAAAAGAAAAAAUGAAAAAAAUAUAUUUGGGGUCUUCGGGCUUCCUGAAGGAAAUACCCAGGUAUUAGGUUAUGGGGCUAGGGUAAGGUUUAAGGUUUUUGGCGUUAGGGUUAAAAUCACUGUCCAAAACCUUUUUAGGAAUAUGUUUCAGACCUUUUGGAGUUGGUAACACCAAAAAAAAAUGUAAAACGAAAAAAAAAUAGUUGGGGUGUUCAAGCUUCCUAAAGGUAAUACCCGGGUAUUAGGUUUUGGGGCUAGGGUAAGGUUUACGGUUUUUGGUGUUAGGGUUUAAAUCACUGUCCAAAACCUUUUUAGGAACAUGUUUCAGACCUUUAGGAGUUGGUUACACCAAAAAAAAUGUAAAAUGAAAAAAAAUUUUUUGGGGGUGUUCGGGCUUCCUGAAGGUAAUACUUUGUAUUACCUUUGUAGGAAGUCUUUUCCAACCUUUUGGAGUUAGUCUUUUGUAGGAAGUCUUUUCCAACCUUUUGGAGUUAUACAAAAAAAAAAGAUAAAUGAAAAAAAAGUAUUUGGGGUGUUCGGGCUUCCUGAAGGUAAUACCCGGGUAUUAGGUUAUGGGGCUAGGGUAAGGUUUAAGGUUUUUGGCGUAAGGGUUAAAAUCACUGUCCAAAACCUUUUUAGGAACAUGUUUCAGACCUUUUGGAGUUGGUUACACCAAAAAAAAUGUAAAAUGAAAAAAAAUUUUUUUUGGGUGUUCGGGCUUCCUGAAGGUAAUACUAGGUUUCUGGGCUAGGGUAAUGUUUUAGGUUUUUGGCGUUAGGGUUAAAAUCAAUGACCAAAACCUUUGUAGGAACUCUUUUCCAACCUUUGAGAGCAAGUUAGACCAAAACAAAAAGAAAAAUAAAAAAUAUAUAUUUGGGGUGUUCUGGCUUCCUGAAGGUAAUACCCGGGUAUUAGGUUAUGGGGCUAGGGUAAGGUUUAAGGUUUUUCGGCGUGAGGGUAAAAAUCACUGUCCAAAACCUUUGUAGGAACUCUUUUCCAACCUUUGGGAAUAAGUUAGACAAAAAAAAUAAGAUAAAUGAAAAAAAAAUAUUUGGGGUGUUCGGGCUUCCUGAAGGUAAUACCCGGGUAUUAUGUUUUGGGGCUAGGGUUAGGUUUCAGGUUUUUGGCAUUAGGGUUAAAAUAACUGUCCAAUAUUUUUUAAGGAACAUGUUUCAGACCUUUGGGAGUUAGUUAGACAAAAAAAAAAAAAAAGAAAAAAAUAUAUAUUUGGGGUGUUCGGGUUUCCUGAAGGUAAUACCCGGGUAUUAGGUUUUGGGGCUAGGGUAAGGUUUAAGGUUUUUGGUGUUAGGGUUAAAAUCACUGUCCAAAACCUUUGUAGGAACUCUUUUCCAACCUUUUGGAGUUAGUUAGACCAAAAAAAAGAAAAAAGAAAAAAAUAUAUUUGGGGUCUUCGGGCUUCCUGAAGGAAAUACCCAGGUAUUAGGUUAUGGGGCUAGGGUAAGGUUUAAGGUUUUUGGUGUUAGGGUUAAAAUCACUGUCCAAAACCUUUUUAGGAACAUGUUUCAGACCUUUUGGAGUAGGUUACACCAAAAAAAAAUGUAAACUGAAAAAAAAAUAUUUCGGGUGUUCAAGCUUCCUGAAGGUAAUACCCGGGUAUUAGGUUAUGGGGCUAUAGUAAGGUUUAAGGUUUUUGGCGUGAGGGUUAAAAUCACUGUCCAAAACCUUUGUAGGAACUAUUUUCCAACCUUUUGGAGUUAGUUAGACCAAAAAAGAAACGAAAAAUGAAAACAAAUAUUUGGGGUUUUCGGGCUUACUGAAGGUAAUACUAGGUUUCUGGGCUAGGGUAAUGUUUUAGGUUUUUGGCGUUAGGGUUAAAAUCAAUGUCCAAAACCUUUGUAGGAACUCUUUUCCAACCUUUGAGAGCAAGUUAGACCAAAACAAAAAGAAAAAGAAAAAAUAUAUAUUUGGGGUGUUCGGGCUUCCUGAAGGUAAUAGGUUAUGGGGCUAGGGUAAGGUUUAAGGUUUUUCGGCGUUAGGGUAAAAAUCACUGUCCAAAACCUUUGUAGGAACUCUUUUCCAACCUUUGGGAAUAAGUUAGACAAAAAAAAUAAGAUAAAUGAAAAAAAAAUAUUUGGGGUGUUCGGGCUUCCUGAAGGUAAUACCCGGGUAUUAUGUUUUGGGGCUAGGGUUAGGUUUAAGGUUUUUGGCAUUAGGGUUAAAAUAACUGUCCAAUAUUUUUUAAGGAACAUGUUUCAGACCUUUGGGAGUUAGUUAGACAAAAAAAAAGAAAAAGAAAAAAAUAUAUAUUUGGGGUGUUCGGGUUUCCUGAAGGUAAUACCCGGGUAUUAGGUUAUGGGGCUAGGGUAAGGUUUAAGGUUUUUGGCGUUAGAGUUAAAAUCAGUGUCCAAAACCUUUUUAGGAACAUGUUUAAGACCUUUUAGAGUGGGUUACACCAAAAAAAAUGUAAAAUGAAAAAAAAAUAUUUGGGGUGUUCGGGCUUCCUGAAGGUAAUACCCGGGUAUUAGGUUUUGGGGCUAGGGUAAGGUUUAAGGUUUUUGGUGUUAGGGUUAAAAUCACUGUCCAAAACCUUUGUAGGAACUCUUUUCCAACCUUUUGGAGUUAGUUAGACAAAAAAAAAAAAAAUGAAAAAAAUAUAUUUGGGGUCUUCGGGCUUCCUGAAGGAAAUACCCAGGUAUUAGGUUAUGGGGCUAGGGUAAGGUUUAAGGUUUUUGGCGUUAGGGUUAAAAUCACUGUCCAAAACCUUUUUAGGAACAUGUUUCAGACUUUUUGGAGUUGGUUACACCAAAAAAAAAUGUAAAAUGAAAAGAAAAUAUUUGGGGUGUUCAAGCUUCCUGAAGGUAAUACCCGGGUAUUAGGUUAUGGGGCUAUAGUAAGGUUUAAGGUUUUUGGCGUGAGGGUUAAAAUCACUGUCCAAAACCUUUGUAGGAACUAUUUUCCAACCUUUUGGAGUUAGUUAGACCAAAAAAAAAACGAAAAAUGAAAAAAAAUAUUUGGGGUUUUCGGGCUUACUGAAGGUAAUACCCGGGUAUUAGGUUUUGGGGCUAGGGUUAGGUUUAAGGUUUUUGGCAUUAGGGUUAAAAUAACUGUCCAAUAUUUUUUAAGGAACAUGUCUCAGACCUUUGGGAGUUAGUUAGACAAAAAAAAAAAGAAAAAGAAAAAAUAUAUAUUUGGGGUGUUCGGGUUUCCUGAAGGUAAUACCCGGGUAUUAGGUUUUGGGGCUAGGGUAAGGUUUAAGGUUUUUGGUGUUAGAGUUAAAAUCAGUGUCCAAAACCUUUUUAGGAACAUGUUUAAGACCUUUUAGAGUUGGUUACACCAAAAAAAAAUGUAAAAAGAAAAAAAAAAUUUGGGGUGUUCGGGCUUCCUGAAGGUAAUACCCGGGUAUUAGGUUUUGGGGCUAGGGUAAGGUUUAAGGUUUUUGGUGUUAGAGUUAAAAUCAGUGUCCAAAACCUUUUUAGGAACAUGUUUAAGACCUUUUAGAGUUGGUUACACCAAAAAAAAAUGUAAAAUGAAAAAAAAAUAUUUGGGGUGUUCGGGCAUCCUGAAGGUAAUACCCGGGUAUUAGGUUUUGGGGCUAGGGUAAGGUUUAAGGUUUUUGGUGUUAGGGUUAAAAUCACUGUCCAAAACCUUUGUAGGAACUCUUUUCCAACCUUUUGGAGUUAGUUAGACCAAAAAAAAAGAAAAAAUGAAAAAAAUAUAUUUGGGGUCUUCGGGCUUCCUGAAGGAAAUACCCAGGUAUUAGGUUAUGGGGCUAGGGCAAGGUUUAAGGUUUUUGGCGUUAGGGUUAAAAUCACUGUCCAAAACCUUUUUAGGAACAUGUUUCAGACCUUUUGGAGUUGGUAACACAAAAAAAAAAUGUAAAAUGAAAAAAAAAUAUUUGGGGUGUUCAAGCUUCCUAAAGGUAAUACCCGGGUAUUAGGUUAUGGGGAUAGGGUAAGGUUUAAGGUUUUUGGUGUUAGGGUUAAAAUCACUGUCCAAAACCUUUUUAGGAACAUGUUUCAGACCUUUUGGAGUUGGUUACACCAAAAAAAAUGUAAAAUGAAAAAAAAUUUUUUUUGGGUGUUCGGGCUUCCUGAAGGUAAUACUAGGUUUCUGGGCUAGGGUAAUGUUUAAGGUUUUUGGUGUUAGGGUUAAAAUCAAUGUCCAAAACCUUUGUAGGAACUCUUUUCCAACCUUUGAGAGCAAGUUAGACCAAAAAAAAAAAUAAAUAAAAAAUAUAUAUUUGGGGUGUUCGGGCUUCCUGAAGGUAAUACCCGGGUAUUAGGUUUUGGGGCUAUUGUUAGGUUUAAGGUUUUUGGCGUUAGGGUUAAAAUAACUGUCCAAAACCUUUGUAGGAACUCUUUUCCAACCUUUGGGAAUUAGUUAGACAAAAAAAAAAAGAUAAAUGAAAAAAAAAAUAUUUGGGGUGUACGGGCUUCCUGAAGGAAAUAUUAGGUUUUGGGGCUAGGGUUAGGUUUAAGGUUUUUGGCGUUAGGGUUAAAAUGACUGUCCAAUAUUUUUUAAGGAACAUCUUUCAGACCUUUGGGAGUUAGUUAGACAAAAAAAAAAGAAAAAGAAAAAAAAUAUAUUUGGGGUGUUCGGGUUUCCUGAAGGUAAUACCCGGGUAUUAGGUUUUGGGGCUAGGGUAAGGUUUAAGGUUUUUGGCGUUUGAGUUAAAAUCAGUGUCCAAAACCUUUUUAGGAACAUGUUUAAGACCUUUUGGAGUUGGUUACACCAAAAAAAAAUGUAAAAUGAAAAAAAAAAUAUUUGGGGUGUUCGGGCUUCCUGAAGGUAAUACCCGGGUAUUAGGUUUUGGGGCUAGGGUAAGGUUUAAGGUUUUUGGUGUUAGGGUUAAAAUCACUGUCCAAAACCUUUGUAGGAACUCUUUUCCAACCUUUUGGAGUUAGUUAGACCAAAAAAAAAGAAAAAAGAAAAAAAUAUAUUUGGGGUCUUCGGGCUUCCUGAAGGAAAUACCCAGGUAUUAGGUUAUGGGGCUAGGGUAAGGUUUAAGGUUUUUGGCGUUAGGGUUAAAAUCACUGUCCAAAACCUUUUAAGGAACAUGUUUCAGACCUUUUGGAGUAGGUUACACCAAAAAAAAAAUGUAAAAUGAAAAAAAAAAUAUUUGGGGUGUUCAAGCUUCCUGAAGGUAAUACCCGGGUAUUAGGUUUUGGGGCUAGGGUUAGGUUUAAGGUUUUUGGCGUUUGGGUAAAAAUCACUGUCUAAUAUUUUUUAAGGAACAUCUUUCAGACCUCUGGGAGUUAGUUAGACCAAAAAAAAAACGAAAAAUGAAAAAAAAUAUUUGGGCUGUUCAGGCUUCCUGAAGGUAAUACUAGGUUUCUGGGCUAGGGUAAUGUUUUAGGUUUUUGGCGUUAGGGUUAAAAUCAAUGUCCAAAACCUUUGUAGGAACUCUUUUCCAACCUUUGAGAGCAAGUUAGACCAAAACAAAAAGAAAAAUAAAAAAUAUAUAUUUGGGGUGUUCGGGCUUCCUGAAGGUAAUAGGUUAUGGGGCUAGGGUAAGGUUUAAGGUUUUUCGGCGUGAGGGUAAAAAUCACUGUCCAAAACCUUUGUAGGAACUCUUUUCCAACCUUUGGGAAUAAGUUAGACAAAAAAAAUAAGAUAAUUGAAAAAAAAAUAUUUGGGGUGUUCGGGCUUCCUGAAGGAAAUACCCGGGUAUAAGGUUUUGGGGCUACGGUAAGGUUUAAGGUUUUUGGCGUUAGAGUUAAAAUCAGUGUCCAAAACCUUUUUUAGGAACAUGUUUAAGACCUUUUAGAGUUGGUUACACCAAAAAAAAAUGUAAAAUGAAAAAAAAAUAUUUGGGGUGUUCGGGCUUCCUGAAGGUAAUACCCGGGUAUUAGGUUUUGGGGCUAGGGUAAGGUUUAAGGUUUUUGGUGUUAGGGUUAAAAUCACUGUCCAAAACCUUUGUAGGAACUCUUUUCCAACCUUUUGGAGUUAGUUAGACAAAAAAAAAAAAAAUGAAAAAAAUAUAUUUGGGGUCUUCGGGCUUCCUGAAGGAAAUACCCAGGUAUUAGGUUAUGGGGCUAGGGUAAGGUUUAAAGUUUUUGGCGUUAGGGUUAAAAUCACUGUCCAAAACCUUUUUAGGAACAUGUUUCAGACUUUUUGGAGUUGGUUACACCAAAAAAAAAUGUAAAAUGAAAAGAAAAUAUUUGGGGUGUUCAAGCUUCCUGAAGGUAAUACCCGGGUAUUAGGUUUUGGGGCUAGGGUAAGGUUUAAGGUUUUUGGUGUUAGGGUUAAAAUCACUGUCCAAAACCUUUUUAGGAACAUGUUUCAGACCUUUUGGAGUAGGUUACACCAAAAAAAAAAGUAAAAUGAAAAGAAAAUAUUUGGGGUGUUCAAGCUUCCUGAAGGUAAUACCCGGGUAUUAGGUUAUGGGGCUAUAGUAAGGUUUAAGGUUUUUGGCGUUAGGGUUAAAAUCACUGACCAAAACCUUUGUAGGAACUAUUUUCCAACCUUUUGGAGUUAGUUAGACCAAAAAAAAAACGAAAAAUGAAAAAAAAUAUUUGGGGUUUUCAGGCUUACUGAAGGUAAUACCCGGGUAUUAGGUUUUGGGGCUAGGGUUAGGUUUAAGGUUUUUGGCGUUAGGGUUAAAAUCACUGUCCAAUAUUUUUUAAGCAACAUGUCUCAGACCUCUGGGAGUUAGUUAGACAAAAAAAAAAAAGAAAAAGAAAAAAAAAAUUGGGGUGUUCGGGCUUCCUGAAGGUAAUACCCGGGUAUUAGGUUUUGGGGCUAGGAUUAGGUUUAAAGGUUUUUGGCGUUAGGGUUAAAAUCACCGUCCAAAACCUUUGUAGGAACUCUUUUCCGACCUUUUGGAGUUAGUUAGACCAAAAAAAAAAAAUGAAAAAAAUAUAUUUGGGGUGUUCGGGCUUCCUGAAGGAAAUACCCGGGUAUUAGGUUUUGGGGCUAGGGUUAGGUUUAAGGUUUUUGGCGUGAGGGUUAAAAUAACUGUCCAAUAUUUUUUAAGGAACAUGUUUCAGACCUUUGGGAGUUAGUUAGACAAAAAAAAAAGAAAAAGAAAAAAAAUAUUUGGGGUGUUCGGGUUUCCUGAAGGUAAUAUUAGGUAGGUAUUAGGAUAUGGGGCUAGGGUAAGGUUUAAGGUUUUUGGCGUUAGAGUUAAAAUCAGUGUCCAAAACCUUUUUAGGAACAUGUUUAAGACCUUUUGGAGUUGGUUACACCAAAAAAAAUGUACAAUGAAAAGAAAAUAUUUGGGGUGUUCAAGCUUCCUGAAGGUAAUACACGGGUAUUAGGUUAUGGGGCUAUAGUAAGGUUUAAGGUUUUUGGCAUUAGGGUUAAAAUAACUGUCCAAUAUUUUUUAAGGAACAUGUUUCAGACCUUUGGGAGUUAGUUAGACAAAAAAAAAAGAAAAAGAAAAAAAUAUAUAUUUGGGGUGUUCGGGUUUCCUGAAGGUAAUACCCGGGUAUUAGGUUAUGGGGCUAGGGUAAGGUUAAAGGUUUUUGGUGUUAGAGUUAAAAUCAGUGUCCAAAACCUUUUUAGGAACAUGUUUAAGACCUUUUAGAGUUGGUUACACCAAAAAAAAAUGUAAAAUGAAAAAAAAUAUUUGGGGUGUUCGGGCUUACUGAAGGUAAUACCCGGGUAUUAGGUUUUGGGGCUAGGGUAAGGUUUAAGGUUUUUGGUGUUAGGGUUAAAAUCACUGUCCAAAACCUGUGUAGGAACAUGUUUCAGACCUUUUGGAGUAGGUUACACCAAAAAAAAAUGUAAAAUGAAAAGAAAAUAUUUGGGGUGUUCAAGCUUCCUGAAGGUAAUACCCGGGUAUUAGGUUAUGGGGCUAUAGUAAGGUUUAAGGUUUUUGGCGUUAGGGUUAAAAUCACUGUCCAAAACCUUUGUAGGAACUAUUUUCCAACCUUUUGGAGUUAGUUAGACCAAAAAAAAAACGAAAAAUGAAAAAAAAUAUUUUGGGUUUUCAGGCUUACUGAAGGUAAUACCCGGGUAUUAGGUUUUGGGGCUAGGGUUAGGUUUAAGGUUUUUGGCGUUAGGGUUAAAAUCACUGUCCAAUAUUUUUUAAGGAACAUCUUUCAGACCUCUGGGAGUUAGUUAGACAAAAAAAAAAAAGAAAAAGAAAAAAAAAAAUUGGGGUGUUCGGGCUUCCUGAAGGUAAUACCCGGGUAUUAGGUUUUGGGGCUAGGAUUAGGUUUAAAGGUUUUUGGCGUUAGGGUUAAAAUCACCGUCCAAAACCUUUGUAGGAACUCUUUUCCGACCUUUUGGAGUUAGUUAGACCAAAAAAAAAACGAAAAAUGAAAAAAAAUAUUUGGGGUUUUCGGGCUUACUGAAGGUAAUACCCGGGUAUUAGGUUUUGGGGCUAGGGUUAGGUUUAAGGUUUUUGGCGUUAGGGUUAAAAUCACUGUCCAAUAUUUUUUAAGGAACAUCUUUCAGACCUCUGGUAGUUAGUUAGACAAAAAAAAAAAAGAAAAAGAAAAAAAAAAUUGGGGUGUUCGGGCUUCCUGAAGGUAAUACCCGGGUAUUAGGUUUUGGGGCUAGGAUUAGGUUUAAAGGUUUUUGGCGUUAGGGUUAAAAUCACCGUCCAAAACCUUUGUAGGAACUCUUUUCCGACCUUUUGGAGUUAGUUAGACCAAAAAAAAAAAUGAAAAAAAUAUAUUUGGGGUGUUCGGGCUUCCUGAAGGAAAUACCCGGGUAUUAGGUUUUGGGGCUAGAGUUAGGUUUAAGGUUUUUGGCGUUAGGGUUAAAAUAACUGUCCAAUAUUUUUUAAGGAACAUGUUUCAGACCUUUGGGAGUUAGUUAGACAAAAGAAAAAAGAAAAAGAAAAAACUAGGACCCCGUUGGGGCACUGGCGGGCCCGAGCUGUGUCGCGUCCCCCCCCCCCAACGCGCUGCCUCCCCGUCCUAUUCGCGUCCUCUGGCCAUCGCCCUCUCUGGUAACGCCCAUCACUGCAAAGACCCUUUUCCUUCAUCGGCGUUUGCUGUUCUUCCUGCCAGUGCAUGUUGCUUUCACUUACACUUGCCACAGCCAGCCACGUGAGUGCCUAGCCUAUUGGAUAUCACUGUCACCUACACAGGACAUUCAUUACCUUUCUAUUAAUACUUUGUUUUUUAAUUUCACAUUAAUUUCCAUAUUGUAUAAACAACUGGAAAAAACUUGAGCCCCUGCCCCUGUAUAAUCAUGUGCACGUCUCUGUUCUAGCUCUAAGGUGAAUCUUCACUGCUCAUGUUCUCCUCAGAAGCAGUCACCUCACUCCCCUCAGGUUACUGUACACAUGCACCAACUGCCUGCUUCAGGUUUGGAUGGAGCUUCAUGGUUGUCUUUUGGAGAAAUGACCAGUCAAGUUGUGUUUGAAAUUUGAUUUUUUUCAGGGGCAAAAGGAGCCUCUGCAUUCUUGUCAAAUAUGUAAAUAGCAUGUUUUUGCAGGUGCUAAAAACCAGACUCUGAGUGUGUGUGUGUGCGUGUGCGUGUGUGUGUGUGUGUGUGUGUGUGUGUGUGUGUGUGCGUUCAAGUCACAUGACAUAUUUAACCGGAUGUAGCUGCAAGACGGAGACUCGUUGACUCUCCGUUUCAACUUAUCUCAAAAGUGAGGACCUCAACCUAUAUACCAGUUUUUAAAUUGUGUUGAUAGGCCAAAUAAAACCAGAGUUAUGAUAAAUUAUGUCCGCGAUACUUUUUUUCUGCUUAUUUUGAUCACGUUCGGCGCUCGAUCGCGCUGUAUGAGACAGGAAAACAUAGCAUGCAGACAUUAGCGACAGGUCUUACAGGCGGAAAAGGCUUGCCAAAGGAAAAAAAAAACACACCACAACAUCUCUCCUAUUGGUGGAAAACUUCACCACAACAACCAAUCCAAAAUUAUAUGGUGACUGAUUGACAAGGGGCGGGCGCUUACGUUCUUCCUGCAAUAUGAGAAGGGAGGGAGGGACUCUCAGCAGGGAUGCAGUCUGGGACACGUAGUUGCAAACCUAGCGACUUUGUUGUUAGAUUCAAUGACUUUUCAGACCCCCUAACGACUUUUUUUUAGAAAGAAAGUGACUUUUAUCGACUUCUUCUGGAGUUUAGAGACUCUGACAUGAAGCAGGCUUUCCUUACUGAGGAGUUAGCAACGCUGCUAAGGGUGCAGAGCCACACAUGCGCUCCGAGCUCUGCAUGGGAGACUGAAGCUGACAGAGCUGCAGCAGUUAGCAGGUUUCACCCUCAGAGACCACCAGGGGUUCAUGUUGAGGCAUUUUCAUUUUUUUUUUUUUUUUUGCCAUAGACACUGUCAGCACAAUCUGCAGUUACACUAACAAAAAUGCUGCAAAAAACAAAGAAUUAUGGAAAAAUUACACAUGGACUAACAUAGAGGAGGAUCUACACAAGUUUUUUACAUCAUGUUUUACAUCAUGCAUCAUUUACAUCAUGUUUUUUUGUAGUGGCAUAAAUAAAAAGUGACAUUUGUGAGACUAUACAGUGUUUUGUAAAUAAUUUUACAAAGAACACCUGGGCCAUUGCCUGCAUUUUGAUGUAAAUAGAGGUAAAUUACUAUGUUCUUUGUUAAAAAUUUGCAUAUGUUUUGAAGUUUACAAUUUUUAUUUGAAGUUUAAGUUUUAAAAACAGUUCAUCACACAUAUUUGUGGUUUUCACAGUAAAAACGUUACUUUUUUCCACUCGGAUUUUAUGUUUUGUGUGUGAAUUUGGGUCCAAUGUGUAAAUAUAGUAUGUCAAAAUGAUAAAAUAACUGUAAAUUGACACAGGUGAGGUUGUGCUGAAAAAAAUGAUACCAGGCAAGGCAAGGUAAAAAUUUUGUAAGAGGAAAUAUAAAGGAAAAAUCUAAAGUAGUCAAAAACGGCCAAUAGUGACUCACAGACUCCACAGACAAGUCCCUUUGGCGCCACUCAGUGGGCAAAACUACUUUGUCUACUGUAAUGUAUAUUUGGGUCAUCUUUGGCGCCCCCUAAAACGUAAACCGUGGGGUGCAGCGUCAUGAUUUUUACAACUUUGAAUGGCCAUGGAGUGUAGAUUGGCCUGAGCAAAUUUGGUGUCAGUGGGACGAAAGCCUUAGGAGGAGUUAGCGAAAUUCCAAUGUGUGCGAAUCGGCAAAAAAUGCAAAAUAGCCCUUUUACCGUACAUUAUACAGAUACGCGCUCUUUGACUUUUUCGUAGAUCUAAUUGAGAUACACAUGAUUGUCAAUUUUUGUGUCAUUUUGCCAAAGCGUACAGGCGUGACACUCAACAAUGUGUAUUUUCACCUUAGGGGACAAGAAAAAAUGGACUUUUUUCUCCUGCCAUGGGGGGGCGCUCUUUUGGGGAGUAAAAAUUCCUUCACAGAUGUGUUGAUGGCUGGACAUUGCAUCAUACUAGAAAACUUGGAGGCCAGUGAGGGCAAAAAUAAAAAGUUAUAAGACUUUUGAAUAUGUGGAUUUUAGUGUUAUCUUUGGCGCCCCCUAGAACCUAAACCGUGGGGUGCAGCGUCAUGAUUUGAAUAACUUUUAAUGGCCAUGGGGUGUAGAUUGGCCUGAGCAAAUGUGGUGUCAGUGGGACGAAAGCCUUAGGAGGAGUUAGCCACAUUCCAAUGUGUGCGAAUCGGCAUAAAAUGCAAAAUAGCCCUCUAACCGUACAUUUGACAGAUACGCACCCAUUGACUUUUUCGUAGAUCUUAUUGAGAUACACGUGAUUGUCAAAUUUUGUGUCAAUAUGACAAAGCGUACAGGUGUCACACUCAACAAUGUGAAUUUUCACCUUACGGGACAAGAAAAAAUGGACUUUUUUCUCCUGCCAUGGGGGGGCGCUCUUUUGGGGAGUAAAAAUUCCUUCACAAAUGUGUUGAUGGCUGGACAUUGCAUUAUCCUAGAAAACUUGGAGGCCAGUGAGGACAAAAAUAAAAAGUUAUAAGACUUUGAAAUAUGUGGAUUUUAGGGUUAUCUUUGGCGCCCCCUAGAACCUAAACCGUGGGGUGCAGCGUCAUGAUUUGAAUAACUUUUAAUGGCCAUGGGGUGUAGAUUGGCCUGAGCAAAUGUGGUGCCGGUGGAACGCCAGCCUUAGGAGGAGUUAGCGAAAUUCCAAUGUGUGCGGAUCAGCAAAAAAUGCGGAAUAACCCUUUAACCGUACAUUUGACAGAUACGCGCGCAUUGACUUUUUCGUAGAUCUUAUUGAGAUACACGUGAUUGUCAAAUUUUGUGUCAAUAUGACAAAGCGUACAGGCGUGACACUCAACAAUGUGUAUUUUCACCUUAGAGGACAAGAAAAAAUGGACUUUUUUCUCCGGCCAUGGGGGGGCGCUCUUUUGGGGAGUAAAAAUUCCUUCACAAAUGUGUUGAUGGCUGGACAUUGCAUCAUCCUAGAAAACUUGGAGGCCAGUGAGGGCAAAAAUAAAAAGUUAUAAGACUUUGAAAUAUGUGGAUUUUAGGGUUAUCUUUGGCGCCCCCUAGAACCUAAACCGUGGGGUGCAGCGUCAUGAUUUGAAUAACUUUUAAUGGCCAUGGGGUGUAGAUUGGCCUGAGCAAAUGUGGUGCCGUUCGAAAGAAAGCCUUCGGAGGAGUUAGCGAAAUUCCAAUGUGUGCGGAUCGGCAAAAAAUGCGGAAUAACCCUUUAACCGUACAUUUGACAGAUACGCCCGCACUGACUUUUUUGUAGAUCUUAUUGAGAUACAUAUGUGUGUCAAUUUUUGUGUCAUUUUGACAAAGCGUAAAGGCGUGACAGUCAAUAGUGUGAAUUUUCACCUUAGGGGGCGCUAUGGAGCCAUUUUGCAUUUUCUUGUUUGGGCGACUUCGGAAUAUCAAAUUUUUCACCAGGCCCGGUCAUCCUGCCAAAUUUCAUGAGUUUUCGCCAGUGGGAAGUGGGCCAUUUUCCAGUUCAAAGGGGAGGAAAAAGAAGAAAGAAAGAAACAAAGAAAAACCUCUUGGGGAAUAAUAGGGCUCUCGCAGCUGCUUAGCAGCUACGCUCGGGCCCUAAAAAUAUUUGGGGUGUUCGGGUUUCCUGAAGGUAAUAUUAGGUAGGUAUUAGGUUAUGGGGCUAGGGUAAGGUUUAAGGUUUUUGGCGUUAGAGUUAAAAUCAGUGUCCAAAACCUUUUUAGGAACAUGUUUAAGACCUUUUAGAGUUGGUUACACCAAAAAAAAAUGUAAAAUGAAAAAAAAAAUAUUUGGGGUGUUCGGGCUUCCUGAAGGUAAUACCCCUAUAUUAGGUUUUGGGGCUAGGGCAAGGUUUAAGGUUUUUGGCGUUAGAGUUAAAAUCACUGUCCAAAACCUUUGUAGGAACUCUUUUCCAACCUUUUGGAGUUAGUUAGACAAAAAAAAUGUAAAAUGAAAAAAAUAUAUUUGGGGUGUUCAAGCUUCCUGAAGGUAAUACCCGGGUAUUAGGUUUUGGGGCUAGGGUAAGGUUUAAGGUUUUUGGCGUUAGGGUUAAAAUCAAUGUCCAAAACCUUUUUAGGAACAUGUUUCAGACGUUUUGGAGUAGGUUACACCAAAAAAAAAUGUAAAAUGAAAAAAAUUUUUUGGGGUGUUCAAGAUUCCUGAAGGUAAUACUAGGUUUCUGGGCUAGGGUAAUGUUUAAGGUUUUUGGCGUAAGGGUUAAAAUCAAUGUCCAAAACCGUUGUAGGAACUCUUUUCCAACCUUUUGGAGUUAGUUAGACCAAAAAAAAAACGAAAAAUGAAAAAAAAUAUUUGGGGUGUUCGGGCUUCCUGAAGGUAAUACCCCUAUAUUAGGUUUUGGGGCUAGGGUAAGGUUUAAGGUUUUUGGCGUUAGAGUUAAAAUCACUGUCCAAAACCUUUGUAGGAACUCUUUUCCAACCUUUUGGAGUUAGUUAGACCAAAAAAAAACGAAAAAUGAAAAAAAAUAUUUGGGGUGUUCGGGCUUCCUGAAGGUAAUACCCGGGUAUUAGGUUAUGGGGCUAGGGUAAGAUUUAAGGUUUUUGGCGUAAGGGUUAAAAUCACUGUCCAAAACCUUUUUAGGAACAUGUUUCAGACCUUUUGGAGUUGGUUACACCAAAAAAAAUGUAAAAUGAAAAAGAAUUUUUUUUGGGUGUUCGGGCUUCCUGAAGGUAAUACUAGGUUUCUGGGCUAGGGUAAUGUUUAAGGUUUUUGGCGUUAGGGUUAAAAUCAAUGUCCAAAACCGUUGUAGGAACUCUUUUCCAACCUUUGAGAGCAAGUUAGACCAAAACAAAAAGAAAAAUAAAAAAUAUAUAUUUGGGGUGUUCGGGCUUCCUGAAGGUAAUACCCGGGUAUUAGGUUAUGGGGCUAGGGUAAGGUUUAAGGUUUUUCGGCGUGAGGGUAAAAAUCACUGUCCAAAACCUUUGUAGGAACUCUUUUCCAACCUUUGGGAAUAAGUUAGACAAAAAAAAUAAGAUAAAUGAAAAAAAAAUAUUUGGGGUGUUCGGGCUUCCUGAAGGUAAUACACGGGUAUUAGGUUUUGGGGCUAGGGUAAGGUUUAAGGUUUUUGGUGUUAGGGUUAAAAUCACUGUCCAAAACCUUUUUAGGAACAUGUUUUCAGACCUUUUGGAGUAGGUUACACCAAAAAAAAAUGUAAAAUGAAAAGAAAAUAUUUGGGGUGUUCAAGCUUCCUGAAGCUUCCUGAAGGUUUAAGGUUUUUCGGCGUGAGGGUAAAAAUCACUGUCCAAAACCUUUGUAGGAACUCUUUUCCAACCUUUGGGAAUAAGUUAGACAAAAAAAAUAAGAUAAAUGAAAAAAAAAUAUUUGGGGUGUUCGGGCUUCCUGAAGGUAAUACACGGGUAUUAGGUUUUGGGGCUAGGGUAAGGUUUAAGGUUUUUGGUGUUAGGGUUAAAAUCACUGUCCAAAACCUUUUUAGGAACAUGUUUUCAGACCUUUUGGAGUAGGUUACACCAAAAAAAAAUGUAAAAUGAAAAGAAAAUAUUUGGGGUGUUCAAGCUUCCUGAAGGUAAUACCCGGGUAUUAGGUUAUGGGGCUAUAGUAAGGUUUAAGGUUUUUGGCGUUAGGGUUAAAAUCACUGUCCAAAACCUUUGUAGGAACUAUUUUCCAACCUUUUGGAGUUAGUUAGACCAAAAAAAAAACGAAAAAUGAAAAAAAAUAUUUGGGGUGUUCGGGCUUCCUGAAGGUAAUACCCGGGUAUUAGGUUUUGGGGCUAGGGUAAGGUUUAAGGUUUUUGGCGUUAGGAUUAAAAUCACUGUCCAAUAUUUUUUAAGGAACAUCUUUCAGACCUCUGGUAGUUAGUUAGACAAAAAAAAAAGAAAAAGAAAAAAAAAAUUUGGGGUGUUCGGGCUUCCUGAAGGUAAUACCCGGGUAUUAGGUUUUGGGGCUAGGAUUAGGUUUAAGGUUUUUGGCGUUAGGGUUAAAAUCACCGUCCAAAACCUUUGUAGGAACUCUUUUCCGACCUUUUGGAGUUAGUUAGACCAAAAAAAAAAAAAAACUAGGA
rnacentral:lncRNA from 1 species